GACCUGCGGAGGAUCAUUGUCGAAACCUGCACAGCAGAACGACCCGCGAAUUGGUUACAACCGACGGGGGGCGGGGAGCGCUCGUCGCCCCCUCGCCCCCCCACGCGGGCGGGGACCUCGCGUCUCCUGCUCGCAAACCGAACCCCGGCGCGGAACGCGCCAAGGAAAACGAACCAAGAGAGCCACGACGGAGGCCCCGGACACGGUGCGCCCCCGGCGUCGGCGUCUUACGAAUUAUUCAAAACGACUCUCGGCAACGGAUAUCUAGGCUCUCGCAUCGAUGAAGAACGUAGCGAAAUGCGAUACUUGGUGUGAAUUGCAGAAUCCCGCGAAUCAUCGAGUUUUUGAACGCAAGUUGCGCCCGAARCCMUUYGGCCGAGGGCMCGUYUGCCUGGGKGUCMCGCAUYGUUGCCCCCCCCCAAACUCCGGUUCGGGCGGGGCGGAAGUUGGCCUCCCGUGCGCGCCCGCGCUCGCGGUUAGCCCAAAAGCGAGUCCUCGGCGACGAGCGCCACGACAAUCGGUGGUUUUUCGGCCCUCGUUCCCCGUCGUGCGCGCCCCGUCGCCCGAACGUUCUCUCGCGACCCUCGCGCGUCGCCUCGGCGGCGCUCCCAACGCGACCCCAGGUCAGGCGGGACUACCCGCUGAGUUUAAGCAUAUCAAUAA
rnacentral:misc_RNA from 1 species